AAAGAUCUGGAAUUUCUUUUUUUGGACAUUUGUUUUGCAGCUUUCUACGUCUUAAGGCAGAGAAUAGCCAGGAUAAGGUGCCAGCUCAAAGCUGUGUGCCAACCACGAUGCAAACAUGGUGAAUGUAUCGGGCCAAACAAGUGCAAGUGUCAUCCUGGAUAUGCUGGAAAAACCUGUAAUCAAGGUAGGAAAACAGUCUGACAGACAUACACAAUCAAAGACACCUCUCACUCCCAAAUUAAAAAUAUUCUUAUCUCAAACUACUUUCCAUAGCUAUUUUUCCAAAAUAUGUGAGCUGCCAUUUUGCUGAUAAAUAAAAAUAUAUUAAUGAU
rnacentral:sRNA from 1 species